rnacentral:rRNA from 1 species
AAAUUGAAGAGUUUGAUCAUGGCUCAGAUUGAACGCUGGCGGCAGGCCUAACACAUGCAAGUCGAACGGUAACAGAAAGCAGCUUGCUGCUUUGCUGACGAGUGGCGGACGGGUGAGUAAUGUCUGGGAAACUGCCUGAUGGAGGGGGAUAACUACUGGAAACGGUAGCUAAUACCGCAUAACGUCGCAAGACCAAAGAGGGGGACCUUCGGGCCUCUUGCCAUCGGAUGUGCCCAGAUGGGAUUAGCUAGUAGGUGGGGUAAAGGCUCACCUAGGCGACGAUCCCUAGCUGGUCUGAGAGGAUGACCAGCCACACUGGAACUGAGACACGGUCCAG